rnacentral:rRNA from 1 species
AUUGAACGCUGGCGGCAUGCCUUACACAUGCAAGUCGAACGGCAGCACGGGUGCUUGCACCUGGUGGCGAGUGGCGAACGGGUGAGUAAUACAUCGGAACAUGUCCUGUAGUGGGGGAUAGCCCGGCGAAAGCCGGAUUAAUACCGCGUACGAUCUACGGAUGAAAGCGGGGGACCUGCGGGCAUCGCGCUAUAGGGUUGGCCGAUGGCUGAUUAGCUAGUUGGUGGGGUAAAGGCCUACCAAGGCGACGAUCAGUAGCUGGUCUGAGAGGACGACCAGCCACACUGGGACUGAGACACGGCCCAGACUCCUACGGGAGGCAGCAGUGGGGAAUUCUGGACAAUGGGCGAAAGCCUGAUCCAGCAAUGCCGCGUGUGUGAAGAAGGCCUUCGGGUUGUAAAGCACUUUUGUCCGGAAAGAAAUCCUUGGCUCUAAUACAGUCGGGGGAUGACGGUACCGGAAGAAUAAGCACCGGCUAACUACGUGCCAGCCGCCGCCGUAA